CCUAUAAAUGUCUAUUUAUGUUGAGUUUGUCAAAAUAUAUUGAUCAAACUAAUAUUUGUUUUGAAAAUCAUUAAAACUCCUAGAGAGUUAUCAUAAGUAAUACGAUGACAAUAAUCUAUGAUAAAAUAUCACUAGAUAAUGAUAUUUAUAAGUCUAUAUGAAAACCAUAUAAUUUUGAUCAUUAAGAUUAUGGUUAUUAAUUCCAACGAGAUAUUGUAUUUGAUUGAAAAUCAUCUCUU
rnacentral:sRNA from 1 species